UACGGGGGGGGCAAGCGUUGUUCGGAAUUACUGGGCGUAAAGGGCUCGUAGGCGGCCAACUAAGUCAGACGUGAAAUCCCUCGGCUUAACCGGGGAACUGCAUCUGAUACUGGAUGGCUUGAGAUUGGGAGAGGGAUGCGGAAUUCCAGGUGUAGCGGUGAAAUGCGUAGAUAUCUGGAGGAACACCGGUGGCGAAGGCGACGUCCUGGACCGGCAUUGACGCUGAGGCGCGAAAGCCAGGGGAGCAAACGGG
rnacentral:rRNA from 1 species